UGGGUUUGACAUAUGCCGUAUCUCUACGAGUACACGGCAUAUGUCAAACCCAGGUAAGGUUCUUCGCGUUGCAUCGAAUUAAUCCGCAUGCUCCGCCGCUUGUGCGGGCCCCCGUCAAUUCCUUUGAGUUUUAGCCUUGCGGCCGUACUCCCCAGGCGGGGCGCUUAAUGCGUUAGCUGCGGCACGGAACUCGUGGAAUGAGUCCCACACCUAGCGCCCAACGUUUACGGCGUGGACUAC
rnacentral:misc_RNA from 1 species